AGGAUGAACGCUGGCGGCGUGCCUAAUACAUGCAAGUCGAGCGGUAACAGGAGAAGCUUGCUUCUCGCUGACGAGCGGCGGACGGCUGAGUAACACGUAGGAACGUACCCCAAAGUGAGGGAUAAGCACCAGAAAUGGUGUCUAAUACCGCAUGUGCUCUAUGGAGUAAAGCUUCGGCGCUUUGGGAACGGCCUGCGUCUGAUUAGCUAGUUGGUGAGGUAAUGGCUCACCAAGGCGACGAUCAGUAGCUGGUCUGAGAGGAUGAUCAGCCAGACUGGGACUGAGACACGGCCCAGACUCCUACGGGAGGCAGCAGUAGGGAAUUUUCCACAAUGGGCGAAAGCCUGAUGGAGCAACGCCGCGUGCAGGAUGAAGGCCCUCGGGUCGUAAACUGCUUUUCUCUGUGACGAAUAUGACGGUAGCAGAAGAAUAAGGAUCGGCUAACUCCGUGCCAGCAGCCGCGGUAA
rnacentral:rRNA from 1 species